GUAGCGAGAGAACGUUGCGUCAGCAACGGCCCGCGGGGCGAGCCACGUAGUGGCGAGUAAUCCUCUAUCACCGACCA
rnacentral:sRNA from 1 species